rnacentral:rRNA from 1 species
CAGAGGGUGCGAGCGUUGUUCGGAAUUACUGGGCGUAAAGCGCGCGCAGGCGGCCCUUUAAGUCCGUCGGUCAAAUGCCGGGGCUCAACCCCGAGCGUGCCGAGGAUACUGGAGGGCUGGAGACACGUAGAGGCAAGCGGAAUUCCGGGUGUAGCGGUGGAAUGCGUAGAGAUCCGGAAGAACACCGGAGGCGAAGGCGGCUUGCUGGGCGUGAUCUGACGCUGAGGCGCGAAAGCGUGGGGAGCGAACAGGAUUAGAUACCCUGGUAGUCCACGCCGUAAACGAUGGGCACUAGACGCCGGCGGGAUCGACCCCGUCGGUGUCGCAGCUAACGCGAUAAGUGCCCCGCCUGGGGAGUACGGCCGCAAGGCUG